GGGCCUCCAGCGGGGGUUAAGUCUGCAGCCUCCACCAGCUCCGUGGUGUUUGUGUCCUGGCUCCCUCCUCUCAAACUCAACGGCAUCAUCAGGAAGUACAUUGUCUUCUGCUCCAACCUGCACCCCACGGUGAUGAGUGAGUUUGAGGCUUCUCCUGAUGUAUAUUUCUACAGAGUGCCAAACCUGGCCCGUAACAGAAAGUACAGCAUCUGGGUGGUUGCCGUGACAGCCGCUGGGCGAGGCAACAGCAGUGAGACCAUCACAGUGGAACCUCGGGCCAAAGCUCCUGCCAGGAUCCUGACGUUCAACAGAACAGUGACUACACCCUGGAUGAAGGACA